rnacentral:rRNA from 1 species
CAGCAGUCGCCGCGGUAAUACGAAGGGGGCUAGCGUUGUUCGGAAUUACUGGGCGUAAAGCGCACGUAGGCGGACAUUUAAGUCAGGGGUGAAAUCCCGGGGCUCAACCCCGGAACUGCCUUUGAUACUGGGUGUCUAGAGUAUGGAAGAGGUGAGUGGAAUUCCGAGUGUAGAGGUGAAAUUCGUAGAUAUUCGGAGGAACACCAGUGGCGAAGGCGGCUCACUGGUCCAUUACUGACGCUGAGGUGCGAAAGCGUGGGGAGCAAACAGGAUUAGAUACCCCUGUAGUCCCUGUCUCUUAUAC